UUAAACUUCCUUGAUCUUAAUUAGCUUUGUAGCAACUCAUUUAGCAAUGGCUUGAAUAUAACUGAUGUUCAUUAGUAUCAGAAUGUUACGCAAUAAAGCU